rnacentral:rRNA from 1 species
AUGGCUGGAUUCGCUGAUGCACUGAGGCCGGAUAAGUUUACCGGUGUGCACUUUAAGAGGUGGCAGGUGAAGACCACGCUCUGGCUUACUGCUCUGAAAGUUUUCCACGCUAGUGUUGGUGCUCCAGAGGGAAUGACCGACGAAGAUCGGAGAAAAUUCCAGGAAGCCAAUACUAUGUUUGUGGGAUGCAUUCUGAGUGUUCUUGCUGACCGUCUGUGUGAUGUGUACAUGCACAUAAACGACGGAAAAAUUCUGUGGGAUGCACUGAAUGCAAAAUUCGGUGCAACAGAUGCAGGCAGUGAACUGUACAUCAUGGAGAGUUUUCAUGACUACAAGAUGGUGAAUAACCGUUCUGUGGUUGAACAAGCUCAUGAGAUACAGUGCAUUGUGAAGGAACUUGAACUCCUUAAAUGUGUUCUACCCGACAAAUUCGUGGCUGGGUGCAUGAUUGCAAAAUUGCCUCCUUCAUGGAGGAAUUUCGCCACAACUCUGAAGCAUAAGAGACAGGAGAUAUCAGUUGAAAAUCUGAGUGCAUCUCUUGAUGUUGAACAAAAAGCUCGGGCUAAAGAUACCACUGAAAAAGGAGGUGAGGUUCAGCCUACUGCUAACAUGGUGCAGAGGUACCCACAGAACAAGAACAAAGGGAAGAACAAACCUGUUUUCAACAAGCCUACCAAGACUACUACCUUCAAGAAGAAGAAGUUCAACAAGGCUGAGCUAGAGUGCUACGCCUGUGGGAAGCCUGGACACUUUUCCAAGGAAUGCCCUGAACGUGCAGACCGCAGAGGGAAAACAAGCUCCAAGACUGUCAACAUGGUGACCGCUAGCAAUACUGAUGGGUCGCAAGGGAUUCUUCCGUCCUAA